AUUGAACGCUGGCGGCAGGCCUAACACAUGCAAGUCGAGCGGAUGAAGGGAGCUUGCUCCUGGAUUCAGCGGCGGACGGGUGAGUAAUGCCUAGGAAUCUGCCUGGUAGUGGGGGAUAACGUCCGGAAACGGGCGCUAAUACCGCAUACGUCCUGAGGAAGAAAGUGGGGGAUCUUCGGACCUCACGCUAUCAGAUGAGCCUAGGUCGGAUUAGCUAGUUGGUGGGGUAAAGGCCUACCAAGGCGACGAUCCGUAACUGGUCUGAGAGGAUGAUCAGUCACACUGGAACUGAGACACGGUCCAGACUCCUACGGGAGGCAGCAGUGGGGAAUAUUGGACAAAGGGCGAAAGCCUGAUCCAGCCAUGCCGCGUGUGUGAAGAAGGUCUUCGGAUUGUAAAGCACUUUAAGUUGGGAGGAAGGGCAGUAAGUUAAUACCUUGCUGUUUUGACGUUACCAACAGAAUAAGCACCGGCUAACUUCGUG
rnacentral:rRNA from 1 species